GGGGUCAAAUCCAGUCUCACAUUAAUCCAAAAAUGAUCAGAAGAAGCCACCAUAUCACUGACAGCCACUGAUCUCUCAGUAGACCCCCCUGAUCUCAUUCUACAGUUGAGCAGCAAGUGUCAGUAAUAAUCAAUGCCUUCUAUCUCAUUCACCACUUGCAGCCCAAGUUGUCAGUAGGACCAAGAUCUACUAUCUCAUUGACCAGUUGCAGCCCAAGUUGUCAGUAAGGACAAAGAUGUACUGUAAGUAUGGUCACAUCGCCAUAUUCCUGUUCUCUUUAGCUUGAGUUACCUUUUAAAGUCCAGCCUCGUACUGGGAAGUUUUCAUCAAUGUCUUUGCCAGUGGCAUCCUCCUCCAAUUGUGGUUACAA